rnacentral:lncRNA from 1 species
UAUCAAUCAGGUAACUUCUCAAGACAGGAAUAAACUUUCCUAAAUACCAAAUUCCAUUGCCCUAACAUUCUACUUCCAUUGUUUCAUCAAGUGGUCAAUUUCAUGGCCUAAGAGAGGUCAGGGAUUUUAACUGCUACUCUGUGGCAGAGUUUGGCAUCCAUUAUCAAGCCCUGCAUAACUCAAUCAAUAAAGUUCUAGACAACCAGGGCCCACUAGGGCUUGUGUGGAAAAAGGGAUGGAAUAGAUAAGAAGAUUCUAUGUAGAUGCAAGGAUCUUCACAACAUGAGGAGAAGCCUGAUGUGAGAAGCUGGUUAUAAGAAGGAGAUUUAUUCCACAAAAGAUGUUGUAUCACCUUGCUUUUUACAUUAAAAAUAACUAUGGGACUUGCUUGAUGAUAUUAAAAAGUAACCAAAUUGGAUGUUAUUCUUCAAGACCCGCAAGGUUUCAGCAUGUACUCUAUGUCCCCACAAAUUUGGAAGUGGAUUUUGUGAUUGAGCCUGUGAGACAUUGUGGUGAGGAUGUGAAAGAGAAAGUGGAGCAUCCAUCAAGGCAAAUGUUGGUUGCUUCUUCCUUUGUCUCUCCUACUACAAAGAACAGUAUGGUAGUUACUUAAAAACAAAGGAAUAAAGAGAAAUUAUGAGGGUUUUUGGUUUUUUUU